UACGUAGGGUGCAAGCGUUGUCCGGAAUUAUUGGGCGUAAAGAGCUCGUAGGCGGCUCGUCACGUCGGCUGUGAAAACCCGGGGCUCAACCCCGGGCCUGCAGUCGAUACGGGCGAGCUAGAGUUCGGCAGGGGAGACUGGAAUUCCUGGUGUAGCGGUGAAAUGCGCAGAUAUCAGGAGGAACACCGGUGGCGAAGGCGGGACUCUGGGCCGAUACUGACGCUGAGGAGCGAAAGCGUGGGGAGCGAACAGG
rnacentral:rRNA from 1 species